ACACACAUUGGUUAUUUUCUGAAACAGAGAGAGCUUGGUGGAAAACAUCCCUCUCCUGGCUGGUCUUUGGGAGUUUUCUUGGCAAAUCCAUUCUGAAUCUCCAGAAUUAGCAGACCUAGAAGGAGGCAUGUGAAGACUUUGCUGGAAUGCUGUUCAUUCAUUCAUCACUCUCUCACCUCCUUCUUCUUCUUCAACUCUGCCAUCUGCCUUCUUCCCAUAUCUCGCAGGGGGAACUGUCCUUAUGAAAAUUGUCAAUGACUCCUCUCUUGUGGAUCCUAUGGAAUUUUGUUCCUUUCCUUCCUGGGUCUCUCAGGAGAAGCUUCUGGAAACGUGCCUUACCCAUGGCUCUGCUCCCACUCUUCCCAUCCUCCCACGGACUCUCCCCCUUGGAAUCCAGUCACUAUGUUGUGAGGAAGCCCAGACCACAUGGAGAGGCCACAUAUAGAGGUUCUAGCCAACGACUCCAGCUAAAGCCUCAGUCAGUCAACAGACAGCAUCUACUCAUGCGAAUGAACAGGUCUUCAGAUGAACCCAGCCCCAAGCGUUUGGCCCUCUCAGCUCAGUUCGCAGACAUCAAGAAACAUGGAGAAGCAUUUGCCCUGAACAUCUGCAAUGUCCAUUGUUACUUGAGCAGCUGGAGGGAAUGACCAUUCUGGAAUAAAUCAACUAAACCUUUGACCUGAGAAGCAUUUCUGUGGAUCGAAUUCCCAAUCCACAGAAUCCACGAGUGAUUGUUUCAUGCCACUAGGUUUUGGAGCAAUUUGUUCUGCACCCAUGGCAACUAUAUUACCUCUCUAGGUUUCUUUGCACAAAAGAACACUGGACUGGAAAUAAAGUGAGUAGCAUAUAUUCCCAUCUCUUUCCCUUAAUAGCUGUUGACACUCACUAACUGUGUGAACUUGGGCCUGUCAUUUCUCAUCUCCAGGUUCUUUAUCCUCCCUCCUGAAAUAUGGGGAUGGAGCUGGAUGAUUUCUAAGACCCUAGGAAGCUUGAAAAUUGUACCAACAGAGACUCUUUAUGGAAUGACCCAAUUAAAACCAUGUCAAUUGA